rnacentral:rRNA from 1 species
UACGGAGGUGGCAAGCGUUGUCCGAAGUUACUGGGCGUAAAGCGCGCGUAGGCGGGCUAUUAAGUGAGGGGUGAAAGGCUGAGGCUCAACCUCAUGUUGGUCCUCUCAUACUGAUAGUCUUGAGUGAGGCAGGGAGAAGUGGAAUGGCUGGUGUAGCGGUGAAAUGCGUAGAUAUCAGUCGGAACACCGGUGGCGAAGGCGGCUUCUUGGGCCUUAACUGACGCUGAGGCGCGAAAGCUAGGGUAGCAAACGGG